UACGGGGGGGCAAGCGUUGUUCGGAAUUACUGGGCGUAAAGGGCUCGUAGGCGGCCAACUAAGUCAGACGUGAAAUCCCUCGGCUUAACCGGGGAACUGCGUCUGAUACUGGAUGGCUUGAGAUUGGGAGAGGGAUGCGGAAUUCCAGGUGUAGCGGUGAAAUGCGUAGAUAUCUGGAGGAACACCGGUGGCGAAGGCGGCAUCCUGGACCAACACUGACGCUGAGGGAGCGAAAGCCAGGGGAGCAAACGGG
rnacentral:rRNA from 1 species